rnacentral:misc_RNA from 1 species
GAUGAAGAACGCAGCGAAAUGCGAUAAGUAAUGUGAAUUGCAGAAUUCAGUGAAUCAUCGAAUCUUUGAACGCACAUUGCGCCCCUUGGUAUUCCAUGGGGCAUGCCUGUUCGAGCGUCAUUUGUACCUUCAAGCUUUGCUUGGUGUUGGGUGUUUGUCCUGAGGGACUCGCCUUAAAGUAAUUGGCAGCCAGUGUUUGGUUUUGAAGCGCAGCACAAGUCGCGAUUCAAAGCUAUACGCCCGCUUCCACAAGCCUUUUUCACUUUUGACCUCGGAUCAGGUAGGGAUACCCGCUGAACUUAAGCAUAUCAUAAGCGGAGGA